CGCCCCCUAUACGUCAUCAUUAAGUAAACUUUGACCCGGAACCUCACAGUCAGCAGACACUUCCUGGGAGGGAGGGUCUGCUGCUGAUUGGGUGGAAUGUGUCUGCUGGCUGUGAGGUUCCGGGUCAAAGUUUACUUAAUGAUGACAUAUAGGGGGCG
rnacentral:miRNA from 1 species